GACGAACGCUGGCGGCGUGCCUAAUACAUGCAAGUCGAGCGAAUUUUUGGGAGCUUGCUCCCAAAAGUUAGCGGCGGACGGGUGAGUAACACGUGGGCAACCUGCCUAUAAGACUGGGAUAACUUCGGGAAACCGGAGCUAAUACCGGAUAAUUCAUAUCUACUCAUGUAGGUAUGCUGAAAGACGGUUUACGCUGUCACUUAUAGAUGGGCCCGGGGCGCAUUAGCUAGUUGGUGAGGUAACGGCUCGCCAAGGCAACGAUGCGUAGCCGACCUGAGAGGGUGAUCGGCCACACUGGGACUGAGACACGGCCCAGACUCCUACGGGAGGCAGCAGUAGGGAAUCUUCCGCAAUGGACGAAAGUCUGACGGAGCAACGCCGCGUGAGUGAUGAAGGUUUUCGGAUCGUAAAACUCUGUUGUUAGGGAAGAACAAGUACUAGAGUAACUGCUAGUACCUUGACGGUACCUAACCAGAAAGCCACGGCUAACUACGUGCCAGCCGCCGCUGUAAAAC
rnacentral:rRNA from 1 species